rnacentral:rRNA from 1 species
GUGCCAGCCGCCGCGGUAAUACGUAGGUGGCAAGCGUUGUCCGGAAUUAUUGGGCGUAAAGCGCGCGCAGGUGGUCCUUUAAGUCUGAUGUGAAAGCCCACGGCUCAACCGUGGAGGGUCAUUGGAAACUGGGGGACUUGAGUGCAGAAGAGGAAAGUGGAAUUCCAAGUGUAGCGGUGAAAUGCGUAGAGAUUUGGAGGAACACCAGUGGCGAAGGCGACUUUCUGGUCUGUAACUGACACUGAGGCGCGAAAGCGUGGGGAGCAAACAGGAUUAGAAACCCCAGUAGUCC